CAGCCGUAAACUAUGCGCGUUAGGUGUACUGGUGACCACGAGUCACCGGGGUGCCGAAGGGAAACCGUGAAACGUGCCGCCUGGGAAGUACGGUCGCAAGGCUGAAACUUAAAGGAAUUGGCGGGGGGGCGACCACAACGGGUGGAGCCUGCGGUUUAAUUGGACUCAACGCCGGAAAUCUCACCGGAUAGGACAGACAUAUGAUAGUCGGGCUGAAGACUCUACUUGAUGAUCUGAGAGGUGGUGCAUGGCGUCAGUGACU
rnacentral:rRNA from 1 species